AGAAUCAACGCUGGCGGCGUGCCUAACACAUGCAAGUCGCACGAGAAAGGGACUUCGGUCCUGAGUAAAGUGGCGCACGGGUGAGUAACACGUGAAUCAUCUACCUCCGAGUGGGGAAUAACCUAGAGAAAUCUGGGCUAAUACCGCAUAACACUUACGAGUCAAAGCAGCAAUGCGCUUGGAGAGGAGUUCGCGGCAGAUUAGUUAGUUGGCGGGGUAAUGGCCCACCAAGACGAUGAUCUGUAUCCGGCCUGAGAGGGCGCACGGACACACUGGAACUGAAACACGGUCCAGACUCCUACGGAGGCAGCAGUGGGGAAUUUUGCGCAAUGGGGAAACCCUGACGCAGCAACGCCGCGUGGAGGAUGAAAUAUCUUGGUAUGUAAACUCCUUUCGAUGGGGAAGAUAAUGACGGUACCCAUAGAAGAAGCCCGGCUAACUUCGUGCCAGCAGCCGC
rnacentral:rRNA from 1 species